GCGCCGCUGGUGUAGUGGUAUCAUGCAA
rnacentral:piRNA from 9 species